AUAUCAUGAUGAUGGCAAUUCCUUUGAAGUUCCUUGAACCUAUCCCAGGCUUCUGAGAAACUUUCAUCUAUUUCUUUCUCGAAUCCAUAAAUCUUGCUACGCAAGC
rnacentral:snoRNA from 1 species